rnacentral:rRNA from 1 species
AUGAACGCUGGCGGCGUGCUUAACCCAUGCACGUCGAACGAUGAAGCCCAGCUUGCUGGGUGGAUUAGUGGCGAACGGGUGAGUAACACGUGAGUAACCUGCCCUUGACUCUGGGAUAAGCCUGGGAAACUGGGUCUAAUACUGGAUAUGACUUCUCAUCGCAUGGUGGGGGGUGGAAAGAUUUAUUGGUCUUGGAUGGACUCGCGGCCUAUCAGCUUGUUGGUGAGGUAAUGGCUCACCAAGGCGACGACGGGUAGCCGGCCUGAGAGGGUGACCGGCCACACUGGGACUGAGACACGGCCCAGACUCCUACGGGAGGCAGCAGUGGGGAAUAUUGCACAAUGGGCGCAAGCCUGAUGCAGCGACGCCGCGUGAGGGAUGACGGCCUUCGGGUUGUAAACCUCUUUCAGUAGGGAAGAAGCGAGAGUGACGGUACCUGCAGAAGAAGCGCCGGCUAACUACGUG